rnacentral:lncRNA from 1 species
ACUUGGCUUAUGUUAGGGUAUGAUAUUUUAAGGAAAGUAGGUUUAAACCUUUGACUUAGGUGCCUAGUUCUCCUCCUAUCAUCAUACCUCUUUGUUCCUUUUUUAUGGUACUAGAGAGUUCUAGUUCUUCUUAUAAUAUCAUUCUUUUCUUUUUUCAUUCUUUUUUUUGAAGAAGUGUCUUUUACCACUUCUUUUUCAUAAG